AGAAGCCCAGUUUUUUCACUAUGUCUUCAUAGGAGAGGUACUUCAGUCUUUGGAUCAUUUCUGUGGCCCUCCUCUGUACUCUCUCCAAAAGCUCCACAUCUUUUCUGUGGUGAGAUGGGAUGUCUACCAUUAGUGCUGAAACACUGCAAAGGAGAAUCACAACUAACUGGCUGAAGUAUGAAAAUUGCUGAAGGGCAUUUUCUAUCACACUUUGGGCAGCUGCACAUGAAAUUGAUGGAAAAUUACCUUUCCAAGGAGGAGCUGUUGACUCCCGUGAGGGUGGAGAAGCCUUGCAGAGAGAUCUUGAGAAAUUAAAGGACUGAGCAGUCACCAACUGCAUGAAGUUCAGCAAGAGCAAGUGCCAGAUUCUGCAUCUGGAAUGGGACAGUUCUGGCUAUAUGUGCAGACUGGGGGACAAGAGGCUGGAGAGCAACCACGCAGAAAGCGACCUGUGGUUUUGGCAGAUGGCAGAGUUGAAUGUGAGUCAGCAGUGUGUCCUGUCAUCCCAAAGAGCCAACCGUACCCUGGAAAGGGUCAGGGUAGUGAUCAAGUUGUCAGAAGCAUGCUUUCUCCCUUACAAGAAUUAAUGUCCCUCUGUAUCAGAUAGAUAUCAGUGAUGCAAACAGGGAAAAACCUGUCUUAACCAGAUAACCCUGAUAUCUCUGUCUCCAUACCCAAAGUUCAGAGGGAUUGAAGUUAUCAGAUAUCCAAGUAACUCUUAACAAUGAGAAGCAGACGUACCAAACACUCUAGCCAAGACCACAAGCCAAACUAAUUUAUGCCUCUCUUGAAGAUGUAGAGAUCAUGUGGACAAGUAUGUAUCAUCUCUUCACUCAUUUGGCCUGAUCAAAGUUGAGAUAAAGUCCAAAUAACUUUGUCCUCUUUCAAUUAAUUAAAAACUUCCAAUCUGAAGUUUUCUCUUCGAAAACAGGAUAACCUAGGGAGCUCUGUUUUGGUUACCCAUGUUUCCAAAUUAACAGAAAAUAGACUUUUGGCAACAUGAAUAAUGUGUUUUUGUCCCAGAAGACAUUGCUCUGGCAUUUUGUUGACAAAAACUUCCCUAUGUAGUUUUGAGACUGCUAGCAAUUGCAUUGCAGUACCAGGAUAAGAGUUGUCUUUCAGUCAGUCAUUUUUCUGCUAACCUAGUGCCUCUCUGAGAGCACAGGUUUUUUUCUCUUCUAUUGCAAAUUGUUGAACCUUAAAAAAUUAAUUGCGUAUACACUAGUGAUCACUUCCAUAGAUAGAGCCUGAGGCAAAAUACACAGAUGAAAAAAUAUGGAAUUUCCUCUGACAUUUUCUGGCUAAUGCUAUCCAUGAAAUUACAAAUAAAAUCACCAGGGCCAGUUGCUCAUUUUAUAUGUGCCCUUCCAAUCAAAUCAGAUAUUAAAGUCUCCUUCCACCAAAGUUUUCUCAGUUCAGACAAAAUUUCUGCAGAGCAGAGUUAUUCAGAUAAUACUAAUAUUUUAGUCCACAUUUGUUUCUAACAAUCUACAUACAGGUAAUUUCUGUAUUAUUUUUUUUUUUUGCUGCUGAACCAACUCUACAUUUUGUUCGCCAGCCUUUGUUUGCUAUAUAUUCAUCCUUAGAAGGUGGUGUAGAGACUUCUACAAAUGUGGUGGUACAGGCUCAAGCAUUGUAUGCUACAGGAAUCCCCUAAGGUGUAGAAUUGGUGCAGAAAGCUCUGACACAAUUCAAAAAGAAAGGAACAUGGAAACAAGCAAAAAUAACAUUUAACUCCAGUAGACCUCAGCGUCUGAAACUUCUCAUUUGUAAUGAAAUAGUUCUCCUUAAGAACAAUCCAAAAAUCAGGUGGGGAAACCUAGAGCUGAUAUCUGACCUGUCAGCACUGCUUACCAAAUUCAAGUCUCAACCAGCCCAAUACUGAAUAGGGCUAAAUCUUAACUCUAGACAUCUUACCCUGCCAGGACCUAGCCUAAUACCUUGAAAUAUAACAUUCAGUUAUUCACCUUGCAUAAUACUGGAUUCAUAACAGAUAGUAAGGGAUCUAAGUCUUUAGAUAUAUAUUUUUUUCUAAAGCCAUAUAUUGAUCAUCAAUACUGAUGGUAUGAAGGCUCACUGGAAGAAAAGGAUUCCAUGUGAAGGAAAAAUAUCUUAAUCCUUCCGUAGCAGAGUUGCAUUGAUAUCUCACUGUUCCCCACUAAAAUAAUAUUCACUGAAAUCCUGAGAGUAAAGGUCUUUAUGAAAUGCUUAUUGAGAAAGCACAUAUCCUGCCUGUAAAUUUCUGAAAUAAAAUGAGUAGGCUGGUUAAAAGCAUUUUGAAAAUAAAUAUGAAAAGUUAACCUCAUAUGACACAUUUGAGCUGUUCCCGUGUUAUUCCAGUUGAAAUAAUUUAUAAAACAAGUAUUUGCAA